CCUACGGGUGGCAGCAGUGAGGAAUAUUGGUCAAUGGGCGUAAGCCUGAACCAGCCAAGUCGCGUGCAGGAUGAAGGCUCUAUGGAUCGUAAACUUCUUUUAUACGGGAAUAAAGUGCGGGACGUGUCCCGUUUUGUAUGUACCUUAUGAAUAAGGAUCGGCUAACUCCGUGCCAGCAGCCGCGGUAAUACGGAGGAUCCGAGCGUUAUCCGGAUUUAUUGGGUUUAAAGGGUGCGUAGGCGGCCUGUUAAGUCAGCGGUGAAAUUCUGUGGCUCAACCUUGGAAUUGCCGUUGAAACUGGGAGGCUUGAGAAUAGUUGCGGUAGGCGGAAUGUGUGGUGUAGCGGUGAAAUGCUUAGAGAUCACGCAGAACCCCGAUUGCGAAGGCAGCCUGCCAAGCCAUGACUGACGCUGAGGCACGAAAGCGUGGGGAUCAAACAGGAUUAGAUACCCUGGUAGUC
rnacentral:rRNA from 1 species